UAGGGAAUAUUGCACAAUGGGGGAAACCCUGAUGCAGCGACGCCGCGUGAAGGAAGAAGUAUCUCGGUAUGUAAACUUCUAUCAGCAGGGAAGAAGAAUGACGGUACCUGACUAAGAAGCCCCGGCUAACUACGUGCCAGCAGCCGCGGUAAUACGUAGGGGGCAAGCGUUAUCCGGAUUUACUGGGUGUAAAGGGAGCGUAGACGGCAUGGCAAGCCAGAUGUGAAAGCCCGGGGCUCAACCCCGGGACUGCAUUUGGAACUGCUGAGCUAGAGUAUCGGAGAGGCAAGCGGAAUUCCUAGUGUAGCGGUGAAAUGCGUAGAUAUCGGGAGGAACACCAGUGGCGAAGGCGGCCUGCUGGACAUUAACUGACGCUGAGGAGCGAAAGCGUGGGGAGCAAACAGG
rnacentral:rRNA from 1 species